UAAAAAAUUUCGCUUGGUCCAAUGUUGCUGCCGAGCCAAAAGCAAUGGUUGGUCCAACAUUGUUGCCGCACAGCGGACCAGGCAUGGUUUAAUAUUGAAGCCAAUAUUGAUCACCAAUAUUCUACCAAUAUUCUACCAGUUUAUAAUUACAAUAUUGAUCAUCAAUAUUGUACCAAUGUUCUACCAGUAUACACAAUUAAAAUAUUGGAACAGGCCCGGGCCGAUGUGCGACUCCGAUCUGGAGCCAAUAAUGGAAGAAAACAACAUUGGUCCACUAUUACAUUCACAGUAACAGUUUGAGGUACCUAUACUCUCCCGAGCAUCGGGGACUACCGGAAUUCCAGAACUGGUUAACUGUUGAUGAUGGUAGCAAAUCCAACACAUCGAGUAGCUUUCGGAUAUAUGCCAUUCUUUGUUGCGUUAAUCGUUAAUUAUUUUAGCCUUUUGAAUAAUUUUUAAGAAAGAUGAUUUAGAUAUAUAUUUAUAACCAUUUAUUACCUUUUUACUUAAUUCUGGAAUUGAACCUUGAACCUUCCUGACAUCCGCUCACUAGAUUAACACUUUACCAUUGUGCCACAUGAUGUCACUUUAAAGACACAAUAAAGAGAUACCAUAUCGACAUUACAGCUUGCAUAUCAGUUCCAAUGCAAAAAUUUUGGUUUGAGUCAUGAAUUAUAUUUGUAAGGUUAAGUUGGUCUUCGUUUGAAUUGGUAUAAAAUACAGUUUCGAUACACUAGAAA